GGUUGACGGUGGUAGUAGGGUGGUGGUGGUAGAGAUGACGGAGGCGAGAGAUGACAGAGAGUGUCUUCUCUUUGUAGAGUCUCGUUGUCGUCGUUGUUCUGUGGUUCGUGUUUCCGAAGAUCAAUAUCGAGCGGGUCGUUCGGAGAGAGAGAGUGAGUAACUACCGGCGUGGUCGCUGAGCGAAUGAGGUGCUCAACGCUCGACGUACGUUUAAAGGUUCUGGGGAUGACAAAAUUGUUCACCUCCGUCGUCCAAUCGGAUCGAGCGUCGGCGAGCGCACACUAGACACAAAUGCGUGUGAGAUAUUUUUGGAUAUUUUCAUAGUUCUCGGUCUAGGGCGACAGCCGGCGCCGUUCCGAGGAGGGUUCGACCUGAUUCUUGUAGUCGAGUGUUGGUCUGGUAAGGUUAAUGUAGUGAUUUCAGUGUUUUGUUGCGGAGCGUUCGGUACCGUUUCCAUGUAUCGCAUCCGGGACACGUGUGUCUCCACAGAUACGAUCACGUGAUUUUGUAUUUUAGGCAUACAGUAGGACCUCAAAGAUACGAACACCUCGGGAAAUUGGGUGUUCGUAAUUGUGAAAUGUUCAUAAGUCUGAAGUUUGUAAUAUCGAUGAUUACAUAACUUGUGAAAACAGGAGUACACUGUAUGGCUAACAAAAAGGAUAAGUACGUGAACUACAGUAACUGUGAGAGUGUAAGAACGAAUUCAAGGGUUACUAAAAUAACAAUCCAUUGUCUUUUGCUUCAAGGCAGAACCCCUUUUUUGUCCUGCAAGGUCCAGGAGCUCUCUCAAAAGCAAAAGUGCGCGUGCGCGUGGCUACAUUACGUGAUCAAAUUUUGCAAGAGCGCGCGCUCGCGCUAGAGCAUGCUGUUCGGUUGACCGUUUUAGCUUGCCGCUGGCUCAGAAUCAAGACGACGAGACAGAUGAGUGAUGAAUGUUGUGCCGACCGCCGUCCGCCAGACGCUCCAUCGUGGUGGGAGUCCCUUGUGAGGUGUCGUGUCGUUUGAUCUCUUCUCCCUUGUGUCGUUCCUGUCUUUUUCGUCGGGAUGAGGUCGUCUACGAACUCUAUACGAAUUAUCUUGUGUUUCUAUUCGCCAACUGCUCGGUCCAUCAAGAAUCGACAAAAUCGAUCAACUUCCCUUACCACCUUCACUCAGAAUGUACCUCGAAGACAUGUUCUACAGGUCACCUCCUGACAGUCGAUGACACAGUUCAUGUUGACCGAGUUUACUGUCGACGUCAAUUAUAUAAACAGUUGUACACAUGAGGAAUAUGGAUUAUGUUGUUGCUGAAUGAUAAUAGAUGGUAUGAUUGCUUUAUGAGAUUUGAGCGGUUUAUGAACGUUUGCUGAUGUAAUGAGGUAUGUUUGAUAGAAAAACGUGAAUAUGGAGCUUGAAGUGAUAUAAUAAUAUAAUAUGGUAUCAUUAGAUGCUCUUACACUUGCAUACACGCCAAGUAUCUUACCAUAAAAAUACAGUUGGAUAAACGUAACAAAAUGUCAAAUACACACAAACUAAAAAUA